rnacentral:rRNA from 1 species
UACGUAGGAGGCAAGCGUUGUCCGGAGUUACUGGCGUAAGACGCACGCAGGCGGUCCCAUUAGUCUGUAGGGACAGGGCACGGCUCAACCGUGUCAGGCUUACGGAAACUGUGGGACUUGAGGGCUUCAGAGGGAUGGGGAAUUCCGGGUGGAGUGGUGAAAUGCGUAGAGAUCCGGAAGAACACCAAAGGCGAAGGCACCAUCCUGGGGAGUCACUGACGCUCGGGUGCGAAAGCUAGGGGAGCGAACGGG